CGUCCCGCCGGCGACCGGCGCACGGGUGAGUAACACGUAUGCAACCUGGCCGCCACAGGGGGAUAACCCGCGGAAACGCGGCCUAAUACCCCGUGACGCCACCGGAGGGCAUCCUCCGGUGGCCAAAGGAGCGAUCCGGUGGCGGAUGGGCAUGCGGCGCAUUAGCUAGACGGCGGGGUAACGGCCCACCGUGGCGACGAUGCGUAGGGGUUCUGAGAGGAAGGCCCCCCACACUGGAACUGAGACGCGGUCCAGACUCCUACGGGAGGCAGCAG
rnacentral:rRNA from 1 species